rnacentral:tRNA from 1 species
GCCGGCGUAGCUCAGCAGGUAGAGCGUCUGAUUUGUAAUCAGAAUGUCGCAGGUUCGAUUCCUGUCGCCGGCUCCA